AGUAACACGUAAACAACCUGCCUUCAAGAUGGGGACAACAGACGGAAACGACUGCUAAUACCGAAUACGAUCCGAAAGUCGCAUGACAUUUGGAUGAAAGGGUGGCCUAUCGAAGAAGCUAUCGCUUGAAGAGGGGUUUGCGUCCGAUUAGGUAGUUGGUGAGGUAACGGCCCACCAAGCCGACGAUCGGUAGCCGGUCUGAGAGGAUGAACGGCCACAAUGGAACUGAGACACGGUCCAGACUCCUACGGGAGGCAGCAGUA
rnacentral:rRNA from 1 species